rnacentral:rRNA from 1 species
CGCCAGACUCCUACGGGAGGCAGCAGUGAGGAAUAUUGGUCAAUGGGAGAGAUCCUGAACCAGCCAAGCCGCGUGAGAGAAGACGGCCCUAUGGGUUGUAAACCUCUUUUGUCGGAGAACAAAACCCGGGACGUGUCCCGGACUGCGUGUAUCCGAAGAAAAAGCAUCGGCUAACUCCGUGCCAGCAGCCGCGGUAAUACGGAGGAUGCGAGCGUUAUCCGGAUUUAUUGGGUUUAAAGGGUGCGCAGGCGGGCUGUUAAGCCGGCGGUAAAAAUUCAGGGCUCAACCCUGUCGAGCCGUCGGAACUGGCAGUCUUGAGUGGGCGAGAAGUAUGCGGAAUGCGUGGUGUAGCGGUGAAAUGCAUAGAUAUCACGCAGAACGCCGAUUGCGAAGGCAGCAUACCGGCGCCCAACUGACGCUGAGGCACGAAAGCGUGGGGAUCGAACAGGAUUAGAUACCCCCGUAGG